GACGAACGCUGGCGGCGUGCUUUAGGCAUGCAAGUCGAACGCGAAAGCCCCUUCGGGGGUGAGUAGAGUGGCGAACGGGUGAGUAACACGUGGGUAACCUGCCCCUCGCAGGGGGAUAACCGGGGGAAACCCCGGCUAAUACCCCGUACGCUUGCUGGGGCGCAUGCUCCGGCAAGGAAAGGUAGCUUCGGCCAUCCGGCGAGGGAGGGGCCCGCGGCCCAUUAGCUAGUUGGUGGGGUAACGGCCCACCAAGGCGACGAUGGGUAGCUGGCCUGAGAGGGUGGUCAGCCACACUGGGCCUGAGACACGGCCCAGACUCCUACGGGAGGCAGCAGCCCGGAGUCUUGCGCAAUGGGCGAAAGCCUGACGCAGCAACGCCGCGUGGGCGAUGAAGGCCUUCGGGUCGUAAAGCCCUGUUGUCGGGGACGAAGGGCGAAGGGUUAAUAGCCCCUAGCCUGACGGUACCCGACGAGGAAGCCCCGGCUAACUACGUG
rnacentral:rRNA from 1 species